rfam:Chelonia mydas contig238234, whole genome shotgun sequence.
AAAGAGGCUCCUUUGGGAGCCAUCUUAUUCCCAUUUCAGGUUGUUU